rnacentral:rRNA from 1 species
GACGAACGCUGGCGGCGUGCUUAACACAUGCCAGUCGAACGGUGAAGCGCCUUCCUUUUUGGUGGGUGUGGAUGAGUGGCGAACGGGUGAGUAACACGUGAGUAACCUGCCCCCUUCUUCUGGAUAACCGCAUGAAAGUGUGGCUAAUACGGGAUAUUCUGGGUCUGUCGCAUGAUGGGUCUGGGAAAGAUAUUGUUUCGGUGGGGGAUGGGCUCGCGGCCUAUCAGCUUGUUGGUGGGGUGAUGGCCUACCAAGGCGGUGACGGGUAGCCGGCCUGAGAGGGUGGACGGUCACACUGGGACUGAGACACGGCCCAGACUCCUACGGGAGGCAGCAGGGGGGAAUAUUGCACAAUGGGCGCAAGCCUGAUGCAGCGACGCCGCGGGAGGGAUGGAGGCCUUCGGGUUGUGAACCUCUUUCGCCAGUGAAGCAGGCCUGCCUCGUUUGUGGGUGGGUUGACGGUAGCUGGAGAAGAAGCGCCGGCUAACUACGUG